GUCCACGCCGUAACUAUGGACGCUAGCCGUUGUCCAGCUUGCUGGUCAGUGGCGCAGCUAACGCAUUAAGCGUCCCGCCUGGGAGUACGGCCGCAAGGUUGAACUCAAAGGAAUUGACGGGGCCCGCACAAGCGGUGGAGCAUGUGGUUAAUUCGACGCAACGCGCAGAACCUUACCAGGGUUUGACAUCCUGUGCUCACCGGAGAGAUCCGGUUUUCCCGCAAGGGACGCAGAGACAGGUGCUGCAUGGCUGUCGU
rnacentral:rRNA from 1 species